rnacentral:piRNA from 1 species
UAAUUAGAAGUGAGGGGAAACUAAUC